CUAAGGGAAGUCAUUUGCAUAUUAUCCAGUGGUCUAAGCCCAUUGUAGUGAGGCAGAGAAGCUCCAUUGCCACCUAUAUCUCGGCUUCUAAACAAAACACUGGAAGAACAAGAACCAGCAAUGCUUGCCAUAUCUGUGUGUCAGCUCAGCUGAUCUCUUUCUUGCUCUCCCCUUCUGAAAAUGUGAAAGAUUUAAAAGUCUGCAACUUUGGGUUAUCAGAGGAAGAG
rnacentral:misc_RNA from 1 species